AUGAAGAACGCAGCGAAAUGCGAUACGUAAUGUGAAUUGCAAAUUCAGUGAAUCAUCGAGUCUUUGAACGCACAUUGCGCCCCCUGGUAUUCCGGGGGGCAUGCCUGUCCGAGCGUCAUUGCUGCCCUCAAGCACGGCUUGUGUGUUGGGCCCCGUCCUCCGAUCCCGGGGGACGGGCCCGAAAGGCAGCGGCGGCACCGCGUCCGGUCCUCGAGCGUAUGGGGCUUUGUCACCCGCUCUGUAGGCCCGGCCGGCGCUUGCCGAUCAACCCAAAUUUUUUAUCCAGGUUGACCUCGGAUCAGGUAGGGAUACCCGCUGAACUUAAGCAUAUCAAUAAGCGGAGGA
rnacentral:misc_RNA from 1 species